AACUUUUGGUGCUUGCACCGAAAGACGAGUGGCGAACGGGUGCGUAACGCGUAUGCAAUCUACCUUUUACUAGAGUAUAGCCCAGAGAAAUUUGGAUUAAUCCUCUAUAACAUCAUUAAUUCGCAUGAAUUUAUGAUUAAAGCUUCGGCGGUUAAAGAUGAGCAUGCGUCCUAUUAGUUAGUAGGUGAGGUAACGGCUCACCUAGACUACGAUAGGUAGGGGUCCUGAGAGGGAGAUCCCCCACACUGGUACUGAGACACGGACCAGACUCCUACGGGAGGCAGCAGUGAGGAAUAUUGGACAAUGGACGAAAGUCUGAUCCAGCUAUGCCGCGUGCAGGAUGACAGCCCUACGGGUUGUAAACUGCUUUUAUACAGGAAGAAAACCUUCGACGUGUCGAAGC
rnacentral:rRNA from 1 species